CAUAAAUGAUGGGUAAAGAGGAGCCAAUGUUCUGUAAGUUAGAAAACCAGUUAUUUGCACAGACCUUCGCAACAAAAGCAAAUACACUGUAUGCUAUUUGCAUCCUGGAUGCAUUUAUCCUUCAGAUAACAAGAGAAAAUAAAAGGAAGAAGUGUGCACAUGUGACAAUGCUACCCAACAGUCACCAGCAGUACCCCUCCUCCUCCUAAUUUCCUCUUGCCGAAAUGCCACAUUAACAUAAGGGGGCCGUGCUGGGCCAUCAGUAGAGACGUGCGGCAUUUGACAACCUCUAAUUUCAGUGCAGCAAGUCUUUUCUGAAGCGCUACGCUCACCUAAAAAUUACCCCCUGCCUUGCACGACCGACAAAAUCAUUUGUCUAGCUGUCCACCCCGGCAGUAAAGGCUGAUUUUGUAAGAAAGACACAAGAAAGGGAGACUCGAGGAUUGCUAUCUUGGAAUGAACAAACAAAAGAAGAAAAAGAAGGCAAUACGCUGGAGAAAGAGAAUGCUGCCCCAUCCAUCAUGCAACAAUGAGAGGAAAGGUCCAGCUGUCAGGAGAGGAAACAAGAGAGGAAGAGGGAGGAAGGAAAGGCUCUGACUGUCAAUGUGACUCAAAAAGAUAACAUGCACUGUUUCCUGUCCCCACCCCUGUAACUAAGGAGACCACCGUUCUCACAACCAAUAGCGAAGAUGGAAAGGAGGCAGAAUAAUUUCCCAUACUCCCAUCCACCAACAGAAAAAAAAAAAAGACUUAACUUUGUCUCGAUGUGAUCUAACCUCUAUGUUUGUCAUCGGAUCUAAAGCGAUAUUUCAUCAAUGCUUCAAAAUAUUUUAAAUCUCCAGAAAAGCACAGUGCUUUCAGUGGGUUAACAAAGUCUACUGACAGAAAACUAAAUGGUUAAUAUGAAGGAAAUAAAAUGCAAGAUGGUAACAUUCAGGUCAUUUCCAUCAUGGUUAAACACUGUCAAAUUGCCACACAGAGAAAGGAUAAGAUGUAUGGCUACGGCUGCAGUUUAACAGUACACCUUUGGCAAAUCCUUACAUCAACUGUGACUCUAGUGAUUUUUGGCAAGGAGCAGAUGGGAGCAGCAGGAGCCUGCCAGAAGUGCAGUAUUGAGCAUGUCAACAAACAGAUUGAAAAAAAAAAUCUCUUUAUUUAAUGUGUUUAGUAGGUGGGGGGAGUGACAGAAUGAGGAACCACCACAUUUCAUUCCCUCUCUCAUUAUCAGGGAAUGAGGUCACUUGAUUACAACAAGAAAGCAUUGAUGCCACAACAGAGACAGAAGCAAACAGAGGUACAACUGCCUUCAAAUGAGUUUCGUUAGAAAUUCAUCUUCAGUUCUAUUUUCUGUGACAGACACACAUCCACAGUCAUCGUUUGGCCAGAGAGCAAAAUUAAAAAGUUCCCAAAAGUGUUUUUUUGGUUUUUGUUGCUAGUGCCAAUGUGACAAGUUGGGAAUUGAUACUAUUUAGACUGUUGUGGGGUAAAGGAAAAAGCUGAAUGUUUAUUAAGUUCAUUAAGAGGGUUUAUUUUUCAUUGUUAUUUUUAAAUUCUUAUGUGUUAAAAUUCUAAUAUUUAAAGUAUAUCUAAUCUUAAUAAUUCUAAUAUUUAAAGUAUUUCUAAUCUUAAUCUGUGAUCUACAGAGUGGUCUCAGUCCUGCACUCUUGGAUCGACUGCUUUAAUCUCCGCCCACAUACCUGGAGAAUUUGCGCUCUUCGCUCUCAUUCGAGUAAAGUUCGCGCAAGAGACCCACAUCUCAUAUCUAUUGUGAUUAUUUCUCCCCUCUUUAGGUAUGUUGUGUAUGUGAUUGUUUUGUCUGUAGUAACUUGUUGACAUGUUAAGAAUACAUACAUAAUGUUUCUGUUACUUUUCGGGUAGAUGUAGUCAAGUUUUGUUGAGAGUGUGUGUAUACGGGCAGACUACUUUAACCGUCAACCACCGUUGUGUGCUAGCUUAACCGCCAACCGGUGUUGUGUGUGUGUGUGUGUGUGUGUAUGUAUACGGGCAGACUAGUUUAACCGGCGUUGUGUGUGUGUGUGUAUGUGCAGGUCCCCGCUUUGUUACAAAGACUAGCUAUAGUGUUUCUGUAUCUUUCUGUAGUGUGUAAAUUGUUGUAUUUUUGUUACAUUUCAUACAUCUCAUUCGAGUAAAGCUCACGCAAGAGA